rnacentral:rRNA from 1 species
CGAAAGAUUGAUCUAGUUACUUAUUAGGAUGAUAUUUAAUAAAUAUAUAUAUUAAUUAAUAUUAAUAAAUAAAUAAUAAAUAAAUAAAUUGAUUAAAAAUAAAAUCCAUAAAUAAUAAAAAUAAUGAUAUAAAUUAUCUUUAAAUAAAAUUAAAGAUAUUAAUUAUAAUUUAAUUAUAAUUAAUAUUGAAUAGUCUUAACAAAUAAUUGUGCCAGCAGUUGCGGUCAUACAAUGAAGGCUAGCGUUAAUCAUAAUGGUUUAAAGUAUCCGUAGAAUAAAUUUAUAAUAUAAAUUUAGAGUUAAUAAAUAUUAAUUAAAGAAUUAUAAUAGUAAGGAUGAAAUAAUUAUAAUAAUUAUAAGACUGGUAUAUGUGAAAAUAUUAAUUAAAUAUUAACUGACAUUGAGGGAUGAAAACUAAAGUAGCAAAACAGAUUCGAUACCUGUGUAGUUUUAGUAGUAAACGAUGAAUACCAUAUUAUAUAAUUAAUUUAUAUAAUAUAUAUGAAAAUUAAAGUAUUCCACCUGAAGAGUAUAUUAGCAAUAAUGAAACUCAAGACAAUAGACGGUUACAGACUUAAGUAGUGGAGUAC